UCUCCGUAGGUGAACCUGCGGAGGGAUCAUUACACAAUAUGAAAGCGGGCUGGACUCCCCCCAGCAGUGCGUUGCUUUGCGGCGUGCGCUGUUGGGGCCAGCCUUGCUGAAUUAUUCACCCGUGUCUUUUGCGUACUUCUUGUUUCCUUGGUGGGUUCGCCCACCACAAGGACAAACCAUAAACCUUUUGUAAUUGCAAUCAGCGUCAGUAACAAUAAUAAUAAUUACAACUUUCAACAACGGAUCUCUUGGUUCUGGCAUCGAUGAAGAACGCAGC
rnacentral:misc_RNA from 1 species